rnacentral:lncRNA from 1 species
AUAUUUUAAUAUAUAUAUUUCAUUUUAAUGAAGAGUGCUUUCUUGUAGACAUUGAUGCAGUACAUAGGGCUGGUAAGGAAGUAGUAACAGUGCGGAGGGGGUAAGUAUGUCAGUCUGGCAUGUUUUCUUCUAAAUUAAUAUUCAAAAAGGUGCCAUUCAAGGAACACUUUUGGUCAUACCUUGCAACCAGUACUGAGACAUGACAUAAAGUUAAAACUCCAGGUGCCUUUUUGAGAUAAGUGUGAAUCCACAUUCACAACCUGGGUUGAGAAAGGUCACACUUCUCUACUUACUAAAAUGGAGUCCUUCAAUCUUAAGUCAGCCCAGCAAUUCAGUUGUAUUGACCUGAUGGAGGCCAUCCGAGGUUUCACUGCCAUUAGGAGCAGGGCUUGUUUUAUGCGCUCCGUGCAUGCUGAUGGUGCAGGGAGUGGUGGAAGAUGUGCCACCUCAAAUCUGGAUAAUUCCUUUAAUCCCUUCCUUCAAUACAACCUGCUCUUAAAACUGAACACUGAUUUUCAUUCUUUUCAUGAUUAGUGUUUCCCCACCCUUAUUUCUGCAUGUUUGGGAAAUUUCAUCAAGUGCUGAAGAAAAAAAGCAAAAAAAGUAACAUCUGCGCCUUACCAUCUAAAAUUUACAUGACAAGGUACCAGAAAUUGGUCAGCUUCAACUGCUGCUUUCAAUAAAUGUUCAUUAUUACGUAUUUGAGUGUGUGCAACGUGCCAGGCACUGUGGUAAGAAGAGGGGAUUCAGCAGCAACCAGAACACAUCCCCAUUCCACACAGUUUACCUUCUCCUGGGGACUUGCAUAGAAGAGAACUAUGGUCACUGCUGCUUGGGCGAUUGUCCGAGUGGGACAGCACCUACCUUCAGAGCUGCAGACAGUAAGAGCAGAGGCACAUGCCCCAACUUCCCCAUCUUAAAGGCAGGGCUAGUGUCCUGCUGAGAAAGCACUCUGAGAGAAGAAAAGCAGCACCACAUCUCUCAUUUCCUAAAAUGCUUUUCCCACCUAGAAUUAUUUUUCAGGAUUUUAUGACCCGAAUUUCCUGUGGGGAAAAAGCUUUAAAAUAUUACACACACAAGUGACAUUUAGUGAAACAACCAGGCACCUCCUUGCCAAGUGUCCGUUUUUGACUGAAAGUGAAGGCUGUAAUUGAGUGUCACAGUCUGCCAAGAUCCAUCCAAUUUGAUUUCAUCAGAUCAUCUUUCUGGAUACUGGGAAUUUGUAAGUGCCAAGUACACUCUACAGGCACAAAGACAGAAACAGAGAAACUAACUUACAGUCCAUCAUGUCAAUCUGGGAGUUUAGAAAAAGCACACUUCAAAAUAAAAAUAUAAAUGACUACUUAUGGCUCCUUUUCAUUUCCUUAAGGCAUUGCACUGUUUAGGUUGUAAGCAACUAGGCAUCACAAACAGAAUCUGAUGUUUUUGUUUUGUUUUGUGAGACAGUGUUGCACUCUGUCACCCAGGCUGGGGGUGCAGUGGCAUGAUCUUGGCUCACUGCAACCUGUGCUUCCCGGGUUCAAGCGAUUCCCGUGCCUCAGCCUCCCAAGAAGCUGGGAUUACAGGCAUGUAUCAUGACACCUGGCUAAUUUUUGUAUUUUUAUAGAGAUGGGGUUUCACCAUUUUGGCCAGGCUGGUCUCGAACUCCUGGCUUCAAGUAAUCCGCCAGCCUCCACCUCCCAAAGUGCUGGGAUUAUAGGCGUGAGCCACCGUGCCCAGCCUAAUAGUAUUUUAUAUAAAAUAAUGAGUAGAACUUGAGGCAAGCCAAGAGAACAGUGUUAGUACAUACAAGCAAUUGUUCCUCUGUAAAAAUAAUGCAUUCUAACUGUAUACAUAAUUCAUAAGCAUGCUUAGUUUAUCUAAGACUUACUGGUGUAAAAACGGUAAUAGAGAAUUAUACUGUGACCUGUAUAAUUUUAUAUGGGUCACAAUAAUUAACUGCUAGAGAUCGUCCAGUAUCUCUGUAUUAUUCCAUCAUUAGAAUAAAAAACACCUGCCUUCAUUCUGUUUCACUUUUUUCUACUAUUUAUCCCCAAAAUAAAAGUUAAAUCAUAUUGUAGUAUACCAAUAAACAGUCUUUGCUGCCAAUAGAUAGUAAUAAACUACCAAACUUCAAAUCAACAUUCAGACUU